rnacentral:rRNA from 1 species
UGCAAGUCGAACGGUAAGCUUUGUAGCAAUAUGAAGCCUAGAGUGACGUAAGGGUGCGUAACACGUAUGCAAUCUACCCUCAACAGGAGUAUAGCUCGGGGAAACUCGGAUUAACACUCCAUAAUAUUACGAAGUGGCAUCACUUUGUGAUUAAAACUGCGGUGGUUGAGGAUGAGCAUGCGUCUGAUUAGUUAGUUGGUGAGGUAACGGCUCACCAAGACGAUGAUCAGUAGGGGAACUGAGAGGUUGAUCCCCCACACUGGCACUGAGAUACGGGCCAGACUCCUACGGGAGGCAGCAGUAGGGAAUAUUGGUCAAUGGGUGAGAGCCUGAACCAGCCAUGCCGCGUGCAGGAAGACGGCCUUCUGGGUUGUAAACUGCUUUUAUCUGGGGAUAAAAAGCCCAUGCGUGGGACAUUGAAGGUACCAGAUGAAUAAGCACCGGCUAACUACGUGCCAGCAGCCGCGGUAAUACGUAGGGUGCAAGCGUUGUCCGGAUUUAUUGGGUUUAAAGGGUGCGUAGGCGGUCUAUUAAGUCAGUGGUGAAAUCCAACAGCUCAACUGUUGAUGUGCCAAUGAUACUGAUGGACUUGAGUACAGACGAGGUAGGCGGAAUUGACAGUGUAGCGGUGAAAUGCAUAGAUAUUGUCAAGAACACCGAUAGCGAAGGCAGCUUGCUAGCCUGUAACUGACGCCGAGGCACGAAAGUAUGGGGAUCAAACAGGAUUAGAUACCCUGGUAGUCCAUACAGUAAACGAUGAUUACUCGAUGUUGGCGAUACACAGUCAGCGUCUUAGCGAAAGCGAUAAGUAAUCCACCUGGGGAGUACGCCGGCAACGGUGAAACUCAAAGGAAUUGACGGGGGUCCGCACAAGCGGUGGAGCAUGUGGUUUAAUUCG